GUACGCGGAGGACAUUACCGAGUUUACAACUCCCAAACCCCUGUGAACAUACCAAUUGUUGCCUCGGCGGAUCAGCCCGCUCCCGGUAAAACGGGACGGCCCGCCAGAGGACCCCUAAACUCUGUUUCUAUAUGUAACUUCUGAGUAAAACCAUAAAUAAAUCAAAACUUUCAACAACGGAUCUCUUGGUUCUGGCAUCGAUGAAGAACGCAGCAAAAUGCGAUAAGUAAUGUGAAUUGCAGAAUUCAGUGAAUCAUCGAAUCUUUGAACGCACAUUGCGCCCGCCAGUAUUCUGGCGGGCAUGCCUGUUCGAGCGUCAUUUCAACCCUCAAGCCCCCGGGUUUGGUGUUGGGGAUCGGCGAGCCCUUGCGGCAAGCCGGCCCCGAAAUCUAGUGGCGGUCUCGCUGCAGCUUCCAUUGCGUAGUAGUAAAACCCUCGCAACUGGUACGCGGCGCGGCCAAGCCGUUAAACCCCCAACUUCUGAAUGUUGACCUCGGAUCAGGUAGGAAUACCCGCUGAACUUAAGCAUAUCAAUAAGCCGGAGGAA
rnacentral:rRNA from 1 species